rnacentral:rRNA from 1 species
UACGGGGGGUGCGAGCGUUGUCCGGAAUCACUGGGCGUAAAGGGCGCGUAGGUGGUUUGAUAAGGGUGUGGUGAAAGCCCGGGGCUCAACCCCGGGUCUGCCCGUGCCGACUGUCAAACUCGAGGGCUGUAGAGGCAGACGGAAUUCCGGGUGUAGCGGUGGAAUGCGUAGAGAUCGGAGGAAGACCGGUGGCGAAGGCGGUCUGCUGGGCAGUUUCUGACACUGAUGCGCGACAGCGUGGGGAGCAAACAGGG